rnacentral:rRNA from 1 species
CCUACGGGAGGCAGCAGUGAGGCAUCUUGGUCAAUGGGCGAGAGCCUGAACCAGCCAAGUCGCGUGAAGGAUGACGGCCCUACGGGUUGUAAACUUCUUUUUUCCUUUCUCCCUUUUCUCCCCCCGUGGGCUUCGCGCGCGUCCCUGCCGCCCCCGCCUCGGCUCCCUCCGUGCCCGCCGCCGCGGUCCUCCGGAGGAUGCGAGCGUUCUCCUGAUUUAUUGUUGUUCACGGGUGCGUAGUCUGCCUCUCAAGUCCGCGGUAAACAUUCGGGGCUCAACCCCGUCGUGCCGUUGAAACUGAUGUUCUUGAGUGGGCGAGAAGUAUGCGGAAUGCGUGGUGUAGCGGUGAAAUGCAUAGAUAUCACGCAGAACUCCGAGGGCGAAGGCAGCAUACCGGCGCCCAACUGACGCGGAAGCACGAAAGCGUGGGUAUCGAACAGGAUGAGAGACCCGGGUAGUC